AACAAAUACUGCUUAGUCACAGUGCGACUCUCCUGACAGCCUCAGAGACACAACAGCUUUUUUCAGUCGCGCAGCCAACACGUUCUGCCACUUCAUGGUCCUCACUUGUUACUGGCUCAGUGAAUGACAGAGCUGAGGCGACACACUGUUAUGAAGCUCAGCACCAACACACGCAGCACACAGCACAAGGGCUUCCGUGUUGAGUUGACAAGUGACAGCGGCACCGUGUCCUCAGAUGAAGCGACAAAAGCAGGACACAUGAUGAUCAGCAGACAGCAGCACACAGCAUGAGAUAACAUGCUAAUGCUAACGGUAUAUGUACAGUAUAUCUGCAGUGUUCCAACUAAUUUAAUGUCCUAAAGACCUCUUUUAUACCACAGAGAAUGUAAAUCCCUGCUCCACAACCAGACUGGUCGAUGAGCAAUGAAAACAAUUAGUUAGUUGUAAGUUAUUUUUAAGUACAUGAACUUAUUGAUGUCUCUGUCACAUGAGGACUUUCCAGCUGCAUGUAACAGUAUAAGUAAUAAUGGAUUAACAUGACAUUAACAUAACACGUAAAAGGAAGAGAUAUCUAGAGACCUUCCUAGUUCCAUAGUGAUAACGGACAGUACUUGGAACAUUAGGCAAAGUAAAUAUGAUUUUACAGCCUCCUAGUUUGAAUAAGAAGAUGACUGCUGUUGAGCAAAGCACCCUCAUGCUCUACAACUUUCAUUCUAACCCUAACCACGACUAUGGGAACAACUUCCUCAAAAGAUGCCUGAAGUACAGCAGCACUCACUGUUAACACACUUUCUAAAAACAUACCUAAUAAUGGAAAUUGUUGAAAAUGUUAGUUUAUCACAGUGGCAGUCAACAUUAAGCCUGUGCAGAAAGUGUCUCUACUGAAAGCUCUGGUCUGACUCUUCUCCAGGUUAUUAGCAUAUCACCAACACACAACCCAAUCAUUUCACUGCCAGCUAACAUCACUCUGCUCACAAAUCCCUCCCUCCCCCUCCUCCUCCUUUCUACUCUCUACCUUUGGUCACAGUGGCUGACUGGCUGACUGUCCAAAGGUCCUCUCUGCCAGAAAAUGUCCCUGUAGUUGCUGCAGUCGCACGAGGACAAACCCCACAAACAGCAUAGAAAAAUGAGCAAUCAUGGAUCUCUGAGCCCUCAGAGCCUCCUGGUAUGAAAACAAGAAAACAACUGAGGAGUCACAAUCAGGUUUCACUGGAAGCAAGGGGAGGACAGAACAGGCCAGAUAAGAAGAGAGACAGUAAGAUGACAUCACUGAUUAUGUAACAGUUAUAUAUAUAUAUAUAUAUAUAUAUAUAUAUAUAUCUUAUAUCACCCUGUCAGUCAGGUCAGAGUCUGUAUUUCCCAAGAGAAGAAAAGGCUGAAGAGCAGCAGAAUGGAGAACAAGAGGAAGGCCAGCAUGCUGGAAGAAGACUUUGAGAGUCUCUCUGACUUACUACACAGCGAAAGUAAGUCACUGACGGAGGAGAUCUACGAGGAAUUUCUCCUACACUUCAAGGAGGACAAACAAAAGUUCAAGAGCUACGAGAAGCUGCUUGAAAUGCUGAAAGACAACAAACAAGAGACAGUGGCCUCCCCGCCUAACAAAUGAAUAAAUAAAUUAAUAAGCAUGAAAAAAAAAAUCUAUUUUCUAUUUUCUUGAAAUAAAUAUUUCUAUUUUCUCGACGGCCACUCAUCCAUUUGAUAUAAAACUUGGUGGGUGGGUUGCUGAAGCCCCAGGCAAGAGCCAACAAAUCCUCCAACCUCAACAAUCACACAGGAAGCUUAUUCCUGUCCUCAGGUACAACCCACAGAAGCAUACCAGCAGCGCACUGGAGCUUCAUCGUCCUGUGGAACGAUCUCAGUUUGGUAAGGCUUAGGCAUAAAAAGUACUUGGUUAGUUUUAGGAAAAGAUCAAUGUUUGCAAUAAAAUUGGUUGUGGAGUGGUCAUGGGUUAAAGAAACAACAAUGACUACAGGGUUUGAACAGGAACUGAACAGUGGUCUCUUGUGUGAAAGACCUGUAUUUUUGACCAAUCCAUCCAUCCCAACCUCCUCCUAAUGCAAACUUUGUUGCCCUUUAUACUGCAUCACCCACUUUGUUGCCCUCAUAAUUACUACAGCCACUAGAUGUUGCUUAACUAAAAAACAUAACUAUAAGUUGUAAUAAGCUGCUGCACAAAUGACCUGUGUGCUAUUUUUGUCCUGGAGGACAGUUUCAACUGUGACCCAAAGCCAACUGACAGAGGGUUCUGUGGCAUCACAAGUGUUAACAUUACAAUGUGAUGAUAGGUGCUUUUGACUUUAUGCAGCACUGCGCAGCACUGACUUGGCAUGCUGUAUGCUGGGCUUAGAACAAUGCAUGCAUUAGAAAUUUUGUCUGCCUUUGGUUGACACUGCACAACAUCAUCACGUAACAUGACAUUAAAAACUUGCAGGUACAAAGCUC